AUCUACUUCUCUUUCAUAAUGCAUUCUGUAACGAUUGAAAAUAUGAAAAGUUGUUCAAAUGACAUUCUGAAAGACGUUUAUCCGUUUUUCUUUUAAACCAUUUGAUCAUAGGACACGCCCAGAGUUAUAAUCUCCCCAUGCAUAUUGCAUAAUACAUUAACAGAUAACAGUAUUUACUAUUUUGGAUAGUUCAAUACACCACAGUUAUCCGGAAUAACUUAUUCACAGCUUUCUGUUAAUUUUUCUUAUUAUUCAAUAGAAACUUUUAACAAGGGUUCAACAGUGAUCCCAAGUCCUUUGAAAAUAAAAACUUUCGUUUGAUAGCGUAAAUACCAAAAUAUUUUACUUUUUUAGCUAAUCAUAGGUAGAUAGAUAUAGGAAGAUGUGGUGUGAGUGCCAAUGAGACAACUCUCCAUACAAAUAACAAUUUAAAAAGUAAACCAUUAUAGGUUAAAGUACGGCCUUCAACACGGAGCCUUGGCUCACACCGAACAACAAGCUAUAAAGGGCCCCAAAAUUACUAGUGUAAAACCAUUCAAACGGGAAAACCAAUCAUAGGAUCUAUUUUGUUUAAGAUAUGUUCUACUUCUCUUUCGGGCAUAACUGGUUCUAUCACGCCUGGUAAACCAUCUAAUCUCAACCAAAAGAAAAAGAAGAAACUGUAAUUUUAUGUUUAUAAGGUAUUAGAAAAAUACCAAUUUACUGAUAUAUAUGUUAGCUUAAACGAUGAUCGCACUGUCAUUUUGUCAAUAACUAACUGUACUUGCGACAUUUACCUGCUGGAGAAAAGUCAUUCCGACGUCAUUUUAAAUUAUAUUGGUCCGUGUUAUUCACGAGACAAAUCCUAAUUCAAUUAUCUAUGGCAUGACAUUCUCCUAUUUCAGAAAAAAACUCAGUAAAUUGACGAAAAUU
rnacentral:lncRNA from 1 species